rnacentral:lncRNA from 1 species
AGUGUUCGAACCUAUGGAGUCGCUCAUAAAAGUCAAAUAAUGUAGAAAAGAAUUGAACAAAUAUUUUUGUGUUUAAUUUGAAAGUUUGAGACUUGAUUGAACAUGUAGAUUAACUUAAUAUAGAAUUAAGUUGUAGGUCAUACAAAAUCAAACACUAACUAUUUCAGCUAGCACUGCGCAUGAGGUGCAGAUUUGAUUU